UGGUGGAGUGAUUUGUCUGGUUAAUCCCGUUAACGAACGAGACCUUAGCCUACUAACUAGUCGACUCAAUCUCGAUUGAUUCCGACUUCUUAGAGGGACUUUGUGGUUUAAACACAAGGAAGUUUGAGGCAAUAACA
rnacentral:rRNA from 1 species